rnacentral:rRNA from 1 species
UGCAGUCGACGGUGAAGCAGAGCUUGCUCCUGUGGAUCAGUGGCGAACGGGUGAGUAACACGUGAGCAACCUGCCCCGGACUCUGGGAUAAGCGCUGGAAACGGCGUCUAAUACCGGAUACGAGACAAGACGGCAUCGUCAUUGUCUGGAAAGAUUUUUUGGUCUGGGAUGGGCUCGCGGCCUAUCAGCUUGUUGGUGAGGUAAUGGCUCACCAAGGCGUCGACGGGUAGCCGGCCUGAGAGGGUGACCGGCCACACUGGGACUGAGACACGGCCCAGACUCCUACGGGAGGCAGCAGUGGGGAAUAUUGCACAAUGGGCGAAAGCCUGAUGCAGCAACGCCGCGUGAGGGAUGACGGCCUUCGGGUUGUAAACCUCUUUUAGCAGGGAAGAAGCGAAAGUGACGGUACCUGCAGAAAAAGCGCCGGCUAACUACGUGCCAGCAGCCGCGGUAAUACGUAGGGCGCAAGCGUUAUCCGGAAUUAUUGGGCGUAAAGAGCUCGUAGGCGGUUUGUCGCGUCUGCUGUGAAAUCCCGAGGCUCAACCUCGGGCCUGCAGUGGGUACGGGCAGACUAGAGUGCGGUAGGGGAGAUUGGAAUUCCUGGUGUAGCGGUGGAAUGCGCAGAUAUCAGGAGGAACACCGAUGGCGAAGGCAGAUCUCUGGGCCGUAACUGACGCUGAGGAGCGAAAGGGUGGGGAGCAAACAGGCUUAGAUACCCUGGUAGUCCACCCCGUAAACGUUGGGAACUAGUUGUGGGGUCCAUUCCACGGAUUCCGUGACGCAGCUAACGCAUUAAGUUCCCCGCCUGGGGAGUACGGCCGCAAGGCUAAAACUCAAAGGAAUUGACGGGGACCCGCACAAGCGGCGGAGCAUGCGGAUUAAUUCGAUGCAACGCGAAGAACCUUACCAAGGCUUGACAUAUACGAGAACACUUCAGAAAUGAGACUCUUUGGACACUCGUAUACAGGUGGUGCAUGGUUGUCGUCAGCUCGUGUCGUGAGAUGUUGGGUUAAGUCCCGCAACGAGCGCAACCCUCGUUCUAUGUUGCCAGCACGUAAUGGUGGGAACUCAU